AAGAACUUACAAGUAUAUCUCUGAAAAUCUAACUAUCCUUAUGCUUUCCCAAGACAAGAAAUGAUUGCAAGCUUAAAUCAAAUAUCUCUCAAACAUACUCUCCCAACAUCCUUUUGUCUUCAAAACUUUAAACCUUUUCUCGCACAAAGCUACUAAAAUACUAAAACACCGAUCUUUUCCUAAGUCAAACUAUAAUCAAUUUCCUUUUCUUUUAAGUAUUUUUGCUUUCUUUGUUACUUUCCUUUUUUCCUGAAUAUCUUCAAAUAAUGAUUCGUAAACUCUGGUUUUGAUUUAUUCAGCUUGUUUACAACCUACCACGUUCCUCCUUUAGUCAGCUGUCUUUGAACUUGUAAACUCCUGUGUUGCAUCCCGUGAUUUCUACAUCUUCAUUUUGAUCUUCCAAA
rnacentral:lncRNA from 1 species